rnacentral:rRNA from 1 species
AUACGUAGGAGACAAGCGUUAUCCGGAUUUACUGGGCGUAAAGGGCGUGUAGGCGGUCUUGUAAGUCAGAAGUGAAAUUUCUGAGCUCAACUCGGGCGCUGCUUCUGAAACUGCCGGACUUGAGUGCUGGAGGGGAUAGCGGAAUUCCGAGUGUAGCGGUGAAAUGCGCAGAUAUUAGGAAGAACACCGGUGGCGAAGGCGGCUACCUGGACAGUAACUGACGCUUAGGCGCGAAAGCGAGGGUAGCAAACAGGAUUAGAUACCCCGGUAGUCUACGCCGUAAACGAUGAAUACUAGGUGUAGGGGGUGUCGACUCCCUCUGUGCCGCAGUUAACACAAUAAGUAUUCCGCCUGGGGAGUACGGCCGCAAGGUUGAAACUCAAAUGAAUUGACGGGG